rnacentral:rRNA from 1 species
AACGAACGCUGGCGGCAGGCCUAACACAUGCAAGUCGAACGCAUCCUUCGGGGUGAGUGGCGCACGGGUGAGUAACACGUGGGAAUGUAUCCUUUGGUUCGGAAUAACGUAUGGAAACGGACGCUAAUACCGGAUGAGCCCUAUGGGGGAAAGAUUUAUCGCCGAAGGAGCAGCCCGCGUCUGAUUAGGUAGUUGGUGGGGUAAAGGCCUACCAAGCCGACGAUCAGUAGCUGGUCUGAGAGGAUGAUCAGCCACACUGGGACUGAGACACGGCCCAAACUCCUACGGGAGGCAGCAGUGGGGAAUAUUGGACAAUGGGCGCAAGCCUGAUCCAGCCAUGCCGCGUGAGUGAUGAAGGCCUUCGGGUUGUAAAGCUCUUGCGCACACGACGAUGAUGACGGUAGUGUGAGAAGAAGCCCCGGCUAACUUCGUGCCAGCCGCCGCCGUAACAC